AAUUUGUACGAAAAGAAAAGAAGCUAGAAGCGAAGCGUGUAAUAUCGGUAUUUGCCGAGCUGUGAGAACAUCUAAAUUUUCGAAUGGAUGAAAACAUCUUACAACAUGUGCAGGCUGUCCUGAAAGAAUAAGGAGGAUUGUAAGAGAGGAAUAUGCCAACCAGAACUGCAAUUAGGAGUCAUUGACAGGAGGAACCUUUGUGACUUGUACGAGCAUGAAGCUUUCAAGCACA